UUUAAGGUCUAAUCUGCCCAAUGAGUAAUUAAAUGGCCGCGGUACUUUGACCGUGCAAAGGUAGCAUAAUAAUUAGUUUUUUAAUUGAAAGCUGGAAUGAAUGAUUGGACGAGAAAAUUACUGUCUCAGAUUAAUUUUUAUUAGAAUUUUAUUUUUAAGUAAAAAAGCUUAAAUUUUUUUAAAAGACGAGAAGACCCUAUAGAGUUUUAUAAUAAAAAAAUUAUAAUUUUUAUAGUAUUUUUAUAUUUAUAAUUUUUUUAUUAUUUUGUUGGGGUGAUAGAAAAAUUAAAUUAACUUUUUUUUAUAUUUUUACAUUAAUUUAUGAAUUUAUGAUCCAUUAUUUAUGAUUAUAAGAUUAAAUUACCUUAGGGAUAACAGCGUAAUUUUUUUUUAGAGUUCUUAUCGAAAAAUUA
rnacentral:rRNA from 1 species